GAGCCGGAUGAGGCGAAAGUCUCAAGUCCGGUUUUGAAUGGGAGGGGAUGGAGGCGACUCCAUUCUCGACCCCUAA
rnacentral:ncRNA from 1 species